UUUAAGUAUUUUCGUGUUUAACAUUUAACCGUCCGUCUUAUUUAAUUUUUUAUGAUUAGUAUUUUUAUGGUUAUUAGAUGAUAAAACAUGCUUUAUGCGUGACUUAUUUUUUAAAUUAUUUUAAUAAAAUUUUUAAAUAAGACGGACGGUCAAACGUUGGACACGGAAACCCGUAACUACAUUUAAA
rfam:Oryza meridionalis cultivar OR44 (W2112) chromosome 5, whole genome shotgun sequence.